UGGGAUGAAGCUCAGUGGUAGAGCACUUAAGUAGCAUGUAUGAGGCCCUGGGUUCAAUCCUCAGCACCACUA
rnacentral:tRNA from 1 species